rnacentral:rRNA from 1 species
AACGAACGCUGGCGGCGUGGCUAAGGCAUGCAAGUCGAGCGGACAUAAUCAAUGGGUAACCUGAGGUUAUGUUAGCGGCGAACGGGUGAGGAAUACAUGGAUAACGUACCCUGGACACGGGGAUAGCGGCGGGCCGCAAGGCUCUUUAGCGAAAGUGCCGGUAAUACCCGAUGACCCCGUAGGAUCGCAUGAUCCAGCGGGCAAAAGCUCCGGCGGUCUAGGAUCGGUUCAUGUCCUAUCAGCUAGUUGGUGGGGUAACGGCCUACCAAGGCUAUGACGGGUAGCGGGCGUGAGAGCGCAAUCCGCCACAUCGGGACUGAGACACGGCCCGGACACCUACGGGUGGCUGCAGCAACGAAUAUUCCGCAAUGGACGCAAGUCUGACGGAGCGACGCCGCGUGUAGGAAGAAGUCCCUCGGGAUGUAAACUACUUUUGUGGGCGAGGAAUACUGACCAGCCCAAGAAUAAGCACCGGCUAACUCCGUGCCAGCAGCCGCGGUAAUACGGAGGGUGCAAGCGUUGUUCGGAAUCACUGGGCUUAAAGCGCGUGUAGGCGGAGUGUCAGGUGCCGUGUGAAAUCCCCGGGCUCAACCCGGGAACUGCGCGGCAAACCGGCAUUCUUGAGGCAAGUAGAGGUGACUGGAACGACCGGUGGAGCGGUGAAAUGCGUAGAUAUCGGUUGGAACGCCAGAGGCGAAAGCGGGUCACUGGGCUUGUCCUGACGCUGAGACGCGAAAGCGUGGGGAGCAAACAGGAUUAGAUACCCUGGUAGUCCACGCCGUAAACGAUGCGCACUAGGUAUGAGCGGCUCUGACGCUGCUUGUGCCGAAACAAAAGCGAUAAGUGCGCCGCCUGGGGAGUACGGCCGCAAGGCUAAAACUCAAAGGAAUUGACGGGGGCUCACACAAGCGGUGGAGUAUGUGGAUUAAUUCGAAGCAACGCGCAGAACCUCACCUGGGUUUGACAUGCUAGGAUGCCCUUUGGGAAACCAGAGUAAGCUGCCUUCGGGUGAAACUAGCACAGGUGCUGCAUGGCUGUCGUCAGCUCGUGCUGUGAAGUGUCGGGUUAAGUCCCUUAACGAGCGAAACCCCUAUCGUUAGUUGCCAGCGGGUCAUGCCGGGAACUCUAGCGAGACCGCCGGCGUCAAGCCGGAGGAAGGCGGGGACGACGUCAAGUCAUCAUGGCCCUUAUGACCAGGGCUACACACGUGCUACAAUGGGCGGUACAAAGGGUUGCCAACCCGCGGGGGGGAGCCAAUCCCAAAAAGCCGUUCGUAGUCCGGAUCGGAGUCUGCAACUCGACUCCGUGAAGUCGGAAUCGCUAGUAAUCGCAGAUCAGCAUUGCUGCGGUGAAUACGUUCCCGGGUC